rnacentral:tRNA from 1 species
GCCGCGUUCGUCUAGUGGUCCAGGACGCCAGCUUCUCAGGCUGGAAAUCGCGGGUUCGAAUCCCGCACGCGGUG